rnacentral:rRNA from 1 species
AUACGGAGGGUGCAAGCGUUACUCGGAAUUACUGGGCGUAAAGGACGCGUAGGCGGUUUAGAAAGUCAGAUGUGAAAGCCUAUGGCUUAACCAUAGAACUGCAUUUGAAACUUCCAAACUAGAGUGGGGGAGAGGUCAGUGGAAUUAGUGGUGUAGGGGUAAAAUCCGUAGAGAUCACUAGGAAUACUCAUUGCGAAGGCGACUGACUGGAACUUAACUGACGCUGAGGCGUGAAAGCGUGGGGAGCAAACAGGAUUAGAAACCCUAGUAGUCC